GAUGAACGCUAGCUACAGGCUUAACACAUGCAAGUCGAGGGGCAGCAUUUUAGUUUUGCUUGCAAACUGAAGAUGGCGACCGGCGCACGGGUGAGUAACACGUAUCCAACCUGCCGAUAACUCCGGGAUAGCCUUUCGAAAGAAAGAUUAAUACCGGAUAGUAUACGAAUAUCGCAUGAUAUUUUUAUUAAAGAAUUUCGGUUAUCGAUGGGGAUGCGUUCCAUUAGUUUGUUGGCGGGGUAACGGCCCACCAAGACUACGAUGGAUAGGGGUUCUGAGAGGAAGGUCCCCCACAUUGGAACUGAGACACGGUCCAAACUCCUACGGGAGGCAGCAGUGAGGAAUAUUGGUCAAUGGGCGCGAGCCUGAACCAGCCAAGUAGCGUGAAGGAUGAAGGCUCUAUGGGUCGUAAACUUCUUUUAUAUGGGAAUAAAGUUUUCCACGUGUGGAAUUUUGUAUGUACCAUAUGAAUAAGGAUCGGCUAACUCCGUGCCAGCAGCCGCGGUAAUACGGAGGAUCCGAGCGUUAUCCGGAUUUAUUGGGUUUAAAGGGAGCGUAGGUGGAUUGUUAAGUCAGUUGUGAAAGUUUGCGGCUCAACCGUAAAAUUGCAGUUGAAACUGGCAGUCUUGAGUACAGUAGAGGUGGGCGGAAUUCGUGGUGUAGCGGUGAAAUGCUUAGAUAUCACGAAGAACUCCGAUUGCGAAGGCAGCUCACUAGACUGUCACUGACACUGAUGCUCGAAAGUGUGGGUAUCAAACAGGAUUAGAUACCCUGGUAGUCCACACAGUAAACGAUGAAUACUCGCUGUUUGCGAUAUACAGUAAGCGGCCAAGCGAAAGCAUUAAGUAUUCCACCUGGGGAGUACGCCGGCAACGGUGAAACUCAAAGGAAUUGACGGGGGCCCGCACAAGCGGAGGAACAUGUGGUUUAAUUCGAUGAUACGCGAGGAACCUUACCCGGGCUUAAAUUGCAACAGAAUAUAUUGGAAACAGUAUAGCCGUAAGGCUGUUGUGAAGGUGCUGCAUGGUUGUCGUCAGCUCGUGCCGUGAGGUGUCGGCUUAAGUGCCAUAACGAGCGCAACCCUUAUCUUUAGUUACUAACAGGUUAUGCUGAGGACUCUAGAGAGACUGCCGUCGUAAGAUGUGAGGAAGGUGGGGAUGACGUCAAAUCAGCACGGCCCUUACGUCCGGGGCUACACACGUGUUACAAUGGGGGGUACAGAAGGCCGCUACCUGGUGACAGGAUGCUAAUCCCAAAAACCUCUCUCAGUUCGGAUCGAAGUCUGCAACCCGACUUCGUGAAGCUGGAUUCGCUAGUAAUCGCGCAUCAGCCAUGGCGCGGUGAAUACGUUCCCGGGCCU
rnacentral:rRNA from 1 species